CGGCCAGCAGGCCUCAGCGCUGUGGGAGACCGGUACAUGUGCACUGCAGAAGGCUUCCUGUGUGUGUUUGCCGGCAACAGCACCACGUCCUUCGAGGACAUCCGCUAGUACAGGGAGCAGAUCGAGGGAGUGAAGGACUCCAGUAAGGCUCUGGUCCCAGCUCCGGGACUGGCUGGGACACUCUGGGACCCCAGUGACUCAGUGGCCUCUAGUGCUGGCGUGAGGACGCCUUCCAGACCCUGGUGCGAGAGAUCCCGUAGCACGAGGUGGGAAAACCGAGCUCACCCGGGCAGGGUGGCCCUGGCCGCAUGGGCCACAAGUGCCCCCUCUGACAUCCCCGCAGGCCUUCUGUGCCCCAGAGCACAGGUAGGGGGCCUGGAGGUACAAGAUGCCAGGAGGAGGUGAGGAAAGAGGAAGGAGAAGGCGAAGGAAGGAAGGAAGCUCCGCCUGAGCCCCGCCAGCCCACCCUCCCUGGAGAGUGACCACAGGCCUCCCUGGACUCUUUGCACAGAUGCAGUGAACGGAGGUCACUA